UUCUCUUGGUCGGCCAAAGGAAGAAAAGGGAAGAAAAGAAGAAGAAAAAAAACCUAGCUAAGAAAUUCAAGAGAAAUUCACAAAAUUUCAAAGAAUCAAGUGACAAAAGGUAAGAUUUUUCAAUUCUAGCUUGUGAUCUACAUUUCCUAUGCAUUCUUUUUCAUUUUCCAUGGUUGAGAAUCAAGUUUGCAUGAGGAUACCCUUGCUGGCCGGACAUGGGGGGAAGAGUUUUGAACUUGGAUUUGGUUAGAUUUCAAUAUAUUCUAGUGUUUUUAGUUAGUUAGUGAUGUGUAGCAUGAAAAACAAACAAGAAAAAUUCAUUUUCUUCCAUCACCCUCCAUUGGCCGAAUCUUCCCUAUGGUGUGUUGAUGGUGGACUUGAUUUAAUUUCAAGUGAUUUGGUUAGGAAUUAAUGAUUUAUGGUGUAAAAAUCAAGUGGGAAAAACCAUAGUGUUCAUGCACCCACCAUGGCCGAAAUUCCCAAGAAGAAAUGUGAAGAUGAUCUUGCUUAAAUUUUAAGUUAUUUAAAUUGUGUUUAAUGAUUUAGAGUAUUGGGAGAGAAAUGGAAUUGUUUGGAGUUGAAUUGGACGUAUUGGCCAAUUAAUCGGGUGAUAGAUCGAAUUAGGCCAAUACCAUUUUAUUUAGGUAUAAAAUUGAACUUAUAUUGAACGUCGUAUUUAGAUGGUUACCCGAGCAUUUCACAUCCCAUUUCAUGCAUUAGUAUAGAGCCUGAAUUAGUUUUAUAACAAUUUAGCACAAAUAUAGUAAAUGGCUUAUUAUGCAUUAUGUCUAGGUGGUGAGCUUUCUGGCAAAAGUAAAGAGAUAGUACCCGAGGAUCAAGAAUCGGAGUACUUGGAACUCGAUUCCUAUUACAGUAACCUUAUUAUCGUCUUAAUUAUCUAAAGUAUGUUUUUAUCCGAUUUUGUAAUUCUAUGGAAAAUGUGUUUAAAUGAAAUGAUUUUAUAAAUUGUUUUGAAACUUAAUGAUGACUUGAAAAUGGAGUAAUUGGAGACAACUUGCUGUAUUGUAAAUUAUGUUUUGAAUUGAAUGGCUUAUGAUAAUGUGGGCAUGAAUGGCUGGAUGGGUAUUUGUGUUGAAAAUGUAUAAACUGUUGUUUGCCUUGAUAGGCUGAAUAAUGAUAAAAUUGCCAUGUCAUGCUGUUGAAUUUUUAUUGAAUUGGUGGGUUAUAGAUUCGUCACUGUAGUUGCGGGUUCUGUGGACCAACCUUUUUGAGGGGCACGAAAUUUGGGUAUAUUCCUACCUUGGUUGAGGAGGGGCAUAGGGUAACUCCUGAGGUAAAACUUUGAAGUUCACUUCACACCAAGCCACCACGUGAGGGCGAACUCAGCCAACGCCAAGGAACGACUAUGUUUUCAAAAUAAAAACAUGAUUUAUGGGUACAUGACUUUUUAACAGCCUUGGAGGAUUCGGUUGGGAUAACCCCAGGCCAAGGUAUCUCUGACAACCGAGUAUGAGAAUGAUUUUAGCAUGAGCCAAGCUUUUCAAGAAAUCGUAAGCCUCGCUGUUUAUUCUGGAUGAAAUGUAACUGGUUUAGAUGAUUUGAAAUGUGUUUUGAGGUUAUGAACCAUCUUAUGAUGAUCUAUUUUAUCUGUCUCCAUUUACUCAGCUUUAGAUAUUUUAGAUGAUAUUUGUUUACUCACUGGGAUUAAAUAAUCUCAUCACCCUCCUUUCCACCCAUUUCAAGCUCAGGAUAGUUUGUAGAUAGCUGAUAUCGUUGAAGGCUACAGUUGGCUUUACUUCGUAAAAAAUCGUAGGUUCACAACCUUCGUUCACUUUUAUCAUUUGGGGGCCCAUGUGUCAUUGUAAAUUAAAUUACAUACCUUGACUAUCUGUAUUACAGUAUUAUGAAGUUAUUUCGCUUUUACGCUACAAAAAUUUCUUACAGAUAACUCUAUAAAAAUUAUUUUAUAAGAAAAUAGAAUAUUUUAUUAUAUUCAAAUAGUCAUAAUUUCACCUUAAAUGAAUGUUUUAGACAUCUAAACUUAUUUUCGAUUAUGAAAUAUGUGUUUUGCACUAGCAUACUACAUUAUUAGCAGGUUUCAAAAUUUUUGAGGAAAAAUGACCAAAAUAUCCCCAAGAGACGAAAAUUAUUUUUUUAUUGUUUUGGUUUGGAAAUAGCUUAUAAUCUUUUAAAUAUAAUAUUAGCAACUGUUGCUCGCAGGGGAGGUGAGAAAACUGAUAUUAAAGCCUUACGAGGUUUCGAUUGGCAUUCCGGGUAAUGAAUGUCUAUCGGGACAUCGCGACAGUUGUCAUGGGCUCGAGGAGAGUACUGGGUCGUGACAACAUUGGGAUGCUAGUGAGGAGUUGUUGCACCCUAAAUUUCCAAUUGAUCUUAAUCUCAUCCGUAGACAAUCUCAAACUUCUAUUGGGGUAAGUUCUUCCACACAUUAUCCUCCACCCCUUCGACCAAGACAACAACAAUUGUCAAUGACCUAAAGAAUUGAGAACAUUGAGCACCUAGUUGAGAACCUUGGGCAACAAUUUGAGCAACACAUGACUUAUUAGACCCAAUAUAAUCAAUAUAUCGAGCUUAUGGUGUUUUUAUGGGAAUGGACAUGUCUACUUUUCCACGAGCACCUAAUCCUUUUAGGGGUGCUAAUGAGGCAGAGGACAAUGAGGACAAUGUUUAGUUUAAGUUUGGGGGGGGGGUGAAUUUAUUUUUCAGGUGUGAAUAUUCUGCGGAAGUUUUAGAUUUAAUUUUAUUUGCAUGUGUAUUUAUAAAUAAUUUAGGAUUAGUUUGUAAAUGAAUUUAUUUCUUGUCUGAAUGUUAGGAAUCUAGAGAAAAGUUAUGCCUCGAUGAUUUCUCUAUCCAAUGAUGAUAACUAGUUGUCUUGAAUUUUUAUCUUUUGGUGAAUAAGGUUUUUGUUUAGAUUCAUGCUAAGUUCUUUUGUUAAGUAUCAUUAUUAGGAUGUGAUUUCCACAAUUUUGAGCACUAUAACUUUUACUUUGAAUUAUUCUGAGUAUCUAGAGAAGGUUUAUAUUGAUGUAAAUUUUAGAUUAUGUCAUGAAUUCUAGAAUUUGUUUGAUUUUCUCUCGAGGCGAAAUCCUAGGCAAUACUUAGUUAAGGAGAUGAUUUAGGCCAUCUUUGGACCGUUUGAGCCUUAAAAGCCAACCUUGUUAAAUCUUUAUCCCUAAUAUACCCCUUUCGAGCCUAAUUUCCCUUUUCUUUGUUUAACUACAUAAUAGUUGAGCUUAGCCUUAAAAUAAAUUUCCAAUUUUGUAACCAUCACUCCUAAGCAUGUAUAUUGUUUUAGGAAAUAUAAGUUAAGCUAAAUGUUGAAAAAGGUGGAAAGAUGGUGUUGAUGUGAAAAAAAAAAUAGUUCAAAAUAUUAAAAGUCACCCCACUACCUACAAUACAAAGAAAAUAAGUUUGGGGGUGUGAAAUUGUGAAAAAAAAGAAAAAAAGAAUGUUGAGAGAAAAAAGAAGAGAAAAGUUCAAUUGUGAAAAAAAAGGUGUACUUGGAGAAGGAAAAUAGAGCUCUAUAGAUAGGUCCUAGAAUAAUUAUGUGCUUAGGUUGAUUUGAGCUACAUUAUUAUCUUGUAUCCUACCUUGACCCUAACCAUACAUUACAAGCUUAUUAAAGUCCUAUUGAUCCCUAGCUUGGUUUUAGUCUACAUUAGUGGAGAGAGAGAUGAAAAGUAAACCUAUGGGAAUCUAGUACUAAUUUGAAAUUUGUGUUGGCAUAAACUCAUCUGGAUGUCAUGAUAUUAUUGGUCAAAGACUUUACACACACACGAAAAUCCAUUCGAGAAUGUGCUUGCAUUGGAAUUGGAACAUGAAUUUGAAUGAUGCCUAUAUUUUUCCUUGGGUUAAUGAUUGAUAGACGUACUUUUGAGGAAAUUAUGUGGAAUCAUUGAGUUGGUGCACUUUAUCUCUAGUAGUAGUAGUAGUAAUAGUAACUAUAUCCAUUGUAGUUUUCAUUAACUGAAUUUGAUUUGAUUAUUGUAAGUUAGUUUUUUUUCUAUGUUUUGCUCGAGGACUAGCAAAAUAUUAAGUUUGGGGGUGUGAUAACUCUAUGAUAUAGAGUUAUUUGGGCUUAAUUUUGAUAGUAAUUUAGCUUAAUUCUUGUAGUAAUGCAUAGAAAUUAGUAAGUUUUAUUUAAAUUAUUUUAAAGUAGUUAAUUUAGGUGAGUCAAUCUAAUGUUAGUUAAUUUUAUGCUUAAUUUGGUGUUAAUGUGUUAAGAUAGGUUUUUAUUGAUUUAUUUGUGCUUUUGUAGGUAUUUGAUGAAAGAAAAAUUUUAAUGAAAGAAGGAGAGCAAUUUUAAGGUGCAGACUUGCACUACACAUGUUUGGGUAUUUCAGCCAUAAUUGUAUAUACAGAGCUCCAAAUGAAGUGAUUCUUGACCAUUAGAAAGAUAAGAGAAAAAGAUACAACUUUCAUGUUUAUCACUUCACCCAGUUUGGCUUGGAAAGUGAUCAAAAAUCAUGUUGAAGUUGACGCAUUGCAGCAGUCCUAGAACAAUUACAAUUUCUAUUAAUUAAUUGGGCAAGGCUGCCGCCCACGUAGUCUGAUGAGGAAAUCCUAGGUGAAAUUGACUUCUUUCUCCACCCAACUUGGCCUAACUUCAAAGCCCUAUAAAAACAACCUUUUGAAGGACUUUUAAAAAAAGAAAAAAAACACCAGAUCGACAACUGAGAGUCAAGCCAUUAAGUCAUUGAAGCUAAGAAGAAUUUGAGGGUUUCAAGGAGAUUUGGAGAUCAAGAAUACAAUUCUUGAGUUAUUCUAUCUUUUUUCAUUCUCUUUUUUUCUUGGUUUUGUUUUUAAUGUUUAAACUUUUUCCAUGAUGAUGUGUGACUUAAUGAUGAACUAAAUUGUUUAUCUAAUAUUAUGAUUGAAC
rnacentral:lncRNA from 1 species